GAUGAAGAACGUAGCGAAAUGCGAUAAGUAAUGUGAAUUGCAGAAUUCAGUGAAUCAUCGAAUCUUUGAACGCACCUUGCGCCCUUUGGACAUUCCGAAGGGCAUGCCUGUUUGAGUAUCAUGAACACCUCAACUCUCACGGCUUGUCCGUGAUGAGCUUGGACUUUGGGGGUCUUGCCGGCCUGUGGUCGGCUCCUCUCAAAUGGAUCAGCUUGCCAGUGUUUGGUGGCAUCACAGGUGUGAUAACUAUCUGCGCUUGUGGUUUUCCAUCAGAUAACCUUCAGUGAUAUGGAGGUUCGCUGGAGCUCACAAAUGUCUCUCCUUAGUGAGGACAGCUCUUUGAACGUUUGAUCUCAAAUCAGGUAGGACUACCCGCUGAACUUAAGCAUUUCAAUAAGCGGAGGA
rnacentral:misc_RNA from 1 species